rnacentral:rRNA from 1 species
AUGGUCACCACGUGGGCCAUUGGGAAGGAUAACGAAUCGUGGGAGAACGGUGAGGAGUUUCGGCCAGAAAGGUUCCUGGAUGGAACCAUCGACUACAAUGGUAAGGACCCCCGGUUCCUACCAUUUGGCGUGGGGAGGAGGGGGUGUCCUGGCAUUGCCUUUGGGACGCGCCUCAUAAAGCUCACACUAGCCAACAUGAUGUACCAUUUCGACUGGGAGCUGCCGGGUGGCCAGGAUCCGGAGUCGUUUGAGGUUAUUGAGGCUAACGGGGUGUCGCCAGGCCUCAAGUCUGCCUUGAUCCUUGCCGUAAAACCUUUAUAA